UGUGUGUGUGUAUGUGUGUCCAUUAUAACCUUGGUCCAACUAAAAAUAAAGUGGGAUCGGAGCUGGCCGUCCCGCGGAGCAGCCCGAGAGGCUGCAAUCAGAGCAUUGUGAUUAGUGGUCAGAGCUGCUGUCAAAGGAGCGUGACCAGGUCAUCUUCCCCAGGACUACGGCAGCUCCAGUGAAGACAAAACGUAGGGCUUCUGUGACCUUUGCUAUUUCUAUUGUUAGGCUUUUAGUUUUAAUCCAAAAAUAUGCAGGAUUUACAGUUAUUGUUGUCAGAAACUUCCAGAAGAAUCAACAAAGUGAAGUGGAAAGAAGCACAUCAGGGAGGUCCGGCCUCGGGGUUUGGCCCCUGGUCUUCCAUCUGCUUGGAAUCUGCUUUGGACACGUAUCCGCCCGGCUUGUUGCAUGGCUUGACGAGAGGUGCUAGGUCUGUGCCUGGGAUCCAAAACUGCGAACCCUGGGCCGCUGAAGUGAAGCACACAAACUAAACCAC
rnacentral:lncRNA from 1 species